rnacentral:SRP_RNA from 14 species
CUUCCUGGCGGAGGAGAUGGCCCGGCGCAUGAGCGAGUGGCAGGUGGACCGCGAGAGGCUGGAGAGGGAGCAGGCCCAGGAGAGGGCGCAGAUGCU